rnacentral:rRNA from 1 species
UGGGGAAUAUUGCACAAUGGGCGCAAGCCUGAUGCAGCCAUGCCGCGUGUGUGAAGAAGGCCUUCGGGUUGUAAAGCACUUUCAGCGAGGAGGAAGGUGGUGAACUUAAUACGUUCAUCAAUUGACGUUACUCGCAGAAGAAGCACCGGCUAACUCCGUGCCAGCAGCCGCGGUAAUACGGAGGGUGCAAGCGUUAAUCGGAAUUACUGGGCGUAAAGCGCACGCAGGCGGUUUGUUAAGUCAGAUGUGAAAUCCCCCGGGCUCAACCUGGGAACUGCAUUUGAAACUGGCAAGCUAGAGUCUCGUAGAGGGGGGUAGAAUUCCAGGUGUAGCGGUGAAAUGCGUAGAGAUCUGGAGGAAUACCGGUGGCGAAGGCGGCCCCCUGGACGAAGACUGACGCUCAGGUGCGAAAGCGUGGGGAGCAAACAGGAUUAGAUACCCCUGGUAGUCCACGCUGUAAACGAUGUCGAUUUUGGAGGUUGUGCCCCUUGAGGCGUGGCUUCCGGAGCUAACGCGUUAAAUCGACCG